GGUGAACGGACCUCUGGUGUAUCUGUUGUCCUGCCAAGGGCAUUGCAGGUUAGCUACGUCCGGACUGGAUAACCGCUGAAGGCAUCUAAGCGGGAAGCCGGCCUCGAGAUGAGCUCUCCCAUCCCCUAGAGGGAGUAAGACCCCUGGAAGACCACCAGGUUGAUAGGCCGGAUCUGGAAGUGCGGUGACGUGCGAAGGAGACCGGUACUAAUGGGUCGAGGGCUUGACGGAUUU
rnacentral:rRNA from 1 species